rnacentral:lncRNA from 1 species
UCCUCCUCCUCCUCAUCCGUCUCCAUGGCACGGGCGCGGGCGCAGGGAGGCCGGAGGACGGCCGGCGGCGCGGGCGAGGGGCGGAGGACGGCCGGCGGCGGCGGGCGAGGGGCGGAGGACGGCCGGCGGCGGCGGGCGCGGGGCGGAGGUGGCCGGCGGCGGCGGGCGCGGGGCGGAGGUGGCCGGCGGCGGCGGGCGCGGGGCGGGGCGGAGGUGGCCGGCGGCGCGUGCUGGCGCGUAGGGCGAGCGGAUAAGGGAAGCGGUGAAAAAAAAGGAUGCAAGCGGAUGCCAGCGUAGGGGGUGGCGUUGCGUGAAGAAAGAGAGUUAAAGAAAUGAAGGAAA